rnacentral:tRNA from 1 species
GGGGAUUUGGCUCAGUGGUAGAGCACUUGCCUAGCAAGCACAAGACCCUGGGUUCAAUCCCCAGCUCCG